ACGUAUUAAAUGCAGUGCAAUGAAAUGAAUGUGUCGAUUAGAAUGACAUAAAUGAAGGAAAGGCCGAACAACUGCGAGACCUCGACGUAGUGACGUCAACAAGAAGCGGCGAAAGUCAUUCAAUUUCAGCUUCAUUACGGCUGUGAACUGUUGCGUACCAAAAUAUAAUGGAAAUUACACAGCAGAAAACAAAGUUCAUGUCUUCAAAUUUAUUAACGACGAUUUAAUAAGACAUACGAGGCUCCAUUCAAUUCCAUAGCAGGAUAUCAUAGUUACUAAUUAUUCAGUAGUGUGUUGCGGGAAACCAUAGCUUGAUUCAAAUGACCUGCAGGCUUUUUUUCUAUCUCUCCAGCCUACCUAUCUUCAGCUGCAGGAAACCCAGCAGAGCGACCGCAAGAGAAAAGGAUCACGUUGGAGGGAGGAAGCAGUAUUGUUGGAAAGCCUGCAGAGUAGUGUUUCCAGCCAUAAUGAGUAUUUAAAAAGAAUUUCACAAAAAAGCUUGAGGAACUGAAACAUAAAACAAACGCAAUAUCUUUCCAGAAGAAUUCGGUGAAAAUAGUGGAAGAAGAGUGAAUUAUUCUUGUGAGUAUCGAUCUAUCUGUGAGGUUCCACUAUGUAGUGAUUGGUAAUUAUUUGAAAGUGGAGGUCUGUUCAAAAUGAGUUUCGUUAAACAAAGUUCUAGUCACAGAAAAUGGUGUGAAUGCAACUGACUGUGAUGUGCACACCUCAGU